AAAAGAAUGAAUAUUAGAAAACAUUUAAAAAAAGUCUAAGUUUGCUCUGAGCGCUUGUGUUGUUUACCAAGAAAAUGCAGCCCUGUUGGUUUUUAUUUCUGUAUCGCAUCGCGGUGAGUUUCUAUUUCUUGGUAAUUCGGUUUGUGAAAUGACUAUUAAUUACAAGCACAGCAUCAUCAACGGUGAUUGCAAGAACUACUGCAAUCCCUGCGGUUUUUCCUCUUGGUAAAUGCGUUCUGGUCGUGACCAAGGGUGGUCUCCCAAAUCGGCCGGGAAUAAGGCUAUUGUUGCAGAACAAAACGCCGCAACCACUGCUGUGGUAAAUAUGUUCCAGCAGAAGUGCCCACCGCCGUCGGUGUAAUGAUUUCGAUAGCUGAACAAACGCCAUC